rnacentral:rRNA from 1 species
GGUUAAGCGAAUAAGCGUACACGGUGGAUGCCUAGGCAAUCAGAGGCGAUGAAGGACGUGCUAAUCUGCGAAAAGCGUCGGUAAGGUGAUAUGAACCGUUAUACCCGACGAUAUCCGAAUGGGGAAACCCAGUAUCCAAUGGAUACUAUCAUUAACUGAAUCCAUAGGUUAAUGAGGCGAACCGGGAGAACUGAAACAUCUCAGUACCCCGAGGAAAAGAAAUCAACCGAGAUUCCCCUAGUAGCGGCGAGCGAACGGGGAGCAGCCCAGAGUCUUAAUCAAUAGCAGUGUCAGGAGAACGGUCUGGAAAGUCCGGCAGUAAAGGGUGAUAGCCCCGUAUCUGAAGAUGCUGUUAUUGUGAACUCGACGAGUAGGGCGGGACACGUGUUAUCCUGUCUGAAUAUGGGGGGACCAUCCUCCAAGGCUAAAUACUCCUGAUUGACCGAUAGUGAACCAGUACCGUGAGGGAAAGGCGAAAAGAACCCCGGCGAGGGGAGUGAAAAAGAACCUGAAACCGUGUACGUACAAGCAGUAGGAGCCUCUUUAUGGGGUGACUGCGUACCUUUUGUAUAAUGGGUCAGCGACUUAUAUUCUGUAGCAAGGUUAACCGUAUAGGGGAGCCGUAGGGAAACCGAGUCUUAACUGGGCGAAUGAGUUGCAGGGUAUAGACCCGAAACCCGGUGAUCUAUCCAUGGGCAGGUUGAAGGUUGGGUAACACUAACUGGAGGACCGAACCGACUAAUGUUGAAAAAUUAGCGGAUGACUUGUGGAUGGGGGUGAAAGGCCAAUCAAACCGGGAGAUAGCUGGUUCUCCCCGAAAGCUAUUUAGGUAGCGCCUCGUGAACUCAUCUUCGGGGGUAGAGCACUGUUUCGACUAGGGGGUCAUCCCGACUUACCAACUCGAUGCAAACUGCGAAUACCGAAGAAUGUUAUCACGGGAGACACACGGCGGGUGCUAACGUCCGUCGUGAAGAGGGAAACAACCCAGACCGCCAGCUAAGGUCCCAAAGUCAUGGUUAAGUGGGAAACGAAGUGGGAAGGCUCAGACAGCCAGGAUGUUGGCUUAGAAGCAGCCAUCAUUUAAAGAAAGCGUAAUAGCUCACUGGUCGAGUCGGCCCGCGCGGAAGAUGUAACGGGGCUAAACCAUGCACCGAAGCUGCGGCAGCGA